rnacentral:rRNA from 1 species
UAAGCAACCUGCCCGAAAGACCGGGACAACAGCUCGAAAGGGCUGCUAAUACCGGAUGUGUCCACCCUUUCACAUGAUUGGGUGAGUAAAUCAUUUAUGGCUUUCGGAGGGGCUUGCGGCCUAUCAGCUAGAUGGCGGUGUAACGGACCACCAUGGCGACGACGGGUAGCUGGUCUGAGAGGAUGGUCAGCCGGACUGAGACUGAGAUACGGCCCAG